AUUCUACUCCCUCCGUUGCACAAUACAUGCCUUCUAUUUGUCAAAAUAUAUGUGUAUCUAGACAUGUCUUAGUAUAUAGGUACAUCCAUUUUUGGACAAAUAGAAGUCAAGUAUUUUGGAACGGAGGGACUACACA
rnacentral:pre_miRNA from 1 species